UACGUAGGGUGCAAGCGUUAUCCGGAAUUAUUGGCGUAAAGAGCUCGUAGGCGGUCUGUCGCGUCUGCUCGUGAAAACUGGGGGCUCAACCCCCAGCCUGCAGUGGGUACGGGCAGACUAGAGUGCGGGUAGGGGAGAUUGGAACUCCUGGUGUAAGCGGUGGAAUGCGCAGAUAUCAGGAAGAACACCGAUGGCGAAAGGCAGAUCUCUGGGCCGUAACUGACGCUGAGGGGCGAAAGCAUGGGGAGCGAACAGG
rnacentral:rRNA from 1 species